rnacentral:misc_RNA from 1 species
GUGAAUCAUCAAAUUUUUGAACGCAAAUUGCACUCUCCUCGGAGAGUAUGCCUGUUUGAGGGUCAGCCUAUAAAAAAUCGACAUCGUUGCUGUUUCGCGGUGUCGUUCGUCGGAAAUUGGGUCAUCUUAAAUCCUUUUGGUUUUUAAGCGACUUAAAAUUUUCUUUUUUGUUCCAUGAACGUUUCUAAGAUUUAUUUCUUUACACGUUUAAGGUAUCGAUUUUUAUUAGACUUGACCAUCAUAUCGGCUCGCGUCCUUAUGCUUU